UCACUACUUGCGUAGGCAGUUUCACUAGAGUUCCCAGCAUGACCUGAUGGCAACUAAUGAUAGGGGUUGCGCUCGUUAUGGGACUUAACCCGACACCUCACGGCACGAGCUGACGACAACCAUGCAGCACCUCGCUGGCCGCUCCGAAGAGAAAUCCGGUUUCCCGGACGGUCGUCCAGCGUUCUAGCCCAGGUAAGGUUCCUCGCGUAUCAUCGAAUUAAACCACAUGCUCCUCCGCUUGUGCGGGCCCCCGUCAAUUCCUUUGAGUUUCAAUCUUGCGAUCGUACUCCCCAGGUGGAUCACUUAAUGCUUUCGCUUAGACGCUGACAGUAUAUCGCCAACAUCGAGUGAUCAUCGUUUACAGCGUGGACUAC
rnacentral:misc_RNA from 1 species